rnacentral:rRNA from 1 species
CUGUACAGUUCAGAGUUUGAUCCUGGCUCAGGAUAAACGCUGGCGGCGCACAUAAGACAUGCAAGUCGAACGGAAGUCGUUUUAAUGAAUUUGAGAUGAAAGAUUUAUCCGGAAUUGAAGAUGAUUUGAAACAAUGGCUUUAGUGGCGGACUGGUGAGUAACACGUAAGCAACCUGCCUGUUAGAGGGGAAUAACAACGAGAAAUCGUUGCUAAUACCGCAUAUGCCAUAAGAACCACAUGGUUCUAGUGGGAAAGGAGUAAUCCGCUAACAGAUGGGCUUGCGUCUGAUUAGUUAGUUGGUGGGGUAACGGCCUACCAAGACGACGAUCAGUAGCCGGACUGAGAGGUUCAACGGCCACAUUGGGACUGAGAUACGGCCCAG